rnacentral:rRNA from 1 species
GAUGAACGCUGGCGGCGUGCCUAAUACAUGCAAGUCGAGCGAACAGACGAGGAGCUUGCUCCUCUGACGUUAGCGGCGGACGGGUGAGUAAAACGUGGAUAACCUACCUAUAAGACUGGGAUAACUUCGGGAAACCGGAGCUAAUACCGGGUAAUAUAUUGAACCGCAUGGUUCAAUAGUGAAAGACGGUUUUGCUGUCACUUAUAGAUGGAUCCGCGCCGCAUUAGCUGGUUGGUAAGGUAACGGCUUACCAAGGCAACGAUGGGUAGCCGACCUGAGAGGGUGAUCGGCCACACUGGAACUGAGACACGGUCCAGACUCCUACGGGAGGCAGCAGUAGGGAAUCUUCCGCAAUGGGCGAAAGCCUGACGGAGCAACGCCGCGUGGGUGAUGAAGGUCUUCGGAUCGUAAAACUCUGUUAUUAGGGAAGAACAAAUGUGUAAGUAACUAUGCACGUCUUGACGGUACCUAAUCAGAAAGCCACGGCUAACUACGUG